rnacentral:rRNA from 1 species
GGGUUGUGAGGUUAAGCGACUAAGCGUACACGGUGGAUGCCCUGGCAGUCAGAGGCGAUGAAGGGCGUGCUAAUCUGCGAUAAGCGCCGGUAAGGUGAUAUGAACCGUUAUAACCGGCGAUACCCGAAUGGGGAAACCCAGUGUGAUUCGUCACACUAUCAUUAACUGAAUCCAUAGGUUAAUGAGGCGAACCGGGGGAACUGAAACAUCUAAGUACCCCGAGGAAAAGAAAUCAACCGAGAUUCCCCCAGUAGCGGCGAGCGAACGGGGAGGAGCCCAGAGCCUGAAUCAGCAUGUGUGUUAGUGGAAGCGUCUGGAAAGGCGCGCGAUACAGGGUGACAGCCCCGUACACAAAAGCGCAUGUGCUGUGAGCUCGAUGAGUAGGGCGGGACACGUGGUAUCCUGUCUGAAUAUGGGGGGACCAUCCUCCAAGGCUAAAUACUCCUGACUGACCGAUAGUGAACCAGUACCGUGAGGGAAAGGCGAAAAGAACCCCGGCGAGGGGAGUGAAAAAGAACCUGAAACCGUGUACGUACAAGCAGUGGGAGCACAGGUUUACCUGUGUGACUGCGUACCUUUUGUAUAAUGGGUCAGCGACUUAUAUUCUGUAGCAAGGUUAACCGUAUAGGGGAGCCGUAGGGAAACCGAGUCUUAACCGGGCGUUAAGUUGCAGGGUAUAGACCCGAAACCCGGUGAUCUAGCCAUGGGCAGGUUGAAGGUUGGGUAACACUAACUGGAGGACCGAACCGACUAAUGUUGAAAAAUUAGCGGAUGACCUGUGGCUGGGGGUGAAAGGCCAAUCAAACCGGGAGAUAGCUGGUUCUCCCCGAAAGCUAUUUAGGUAGCGCCUCGUGAAUUCAUCUCCGGGGGUAGAGCACUGUUUCGGCUAGGGGGUCAUCCCGACUUACCAACCCGAUGCAAACUGCGAAUACCGGAGAAUGUUAUCACGGGAGACACACGGCGGGUGCUAACGUCCGUCGUGAAGAGGGAAACAACCCAGACCGCCAGCUAAGGUCCCAAAGUCAUGGUUAAGUGGGAAACGAUGUGGGAAGGCCCAGACAGCCAGGAUGUUGGCUUAGAAGCAGCCAUCAUUUAAAGAAAGCGUAAUAGCUCACUGGUCGAGUCGGCCUGCGCGGAAGAUGUAACGGGGCUAAACCAUGCACCGAAGCUGCGGCAGCGACGCUUAUGCGUUGUUGGGUAGGGGAGCGUUCUGUAAGCCUGCGAAGGUGGCCUGUGAGGGUUGCUGGAGGUAUCAGAAGUGCGAAUGCUGACAUAAGUAACGAUAAAGCGGGUGAAAAGCCCGCUCGCCGGAAGACCAAGGGUUCCUGUCCAACGUUAAUCGGGGCAGGGUGAGUCGACCCCUAAGGCGAGGCCGAAAGGCGUAGUCGAUGGGAAACGGGUUAAUAUUCCCGUACUUGGUGUUACUGCGAAGGGGGGACGGAGAAGGCUAUGUUGGCCGGGCGACGGUUGUCCCGGUUUAAGCGUGUAGGUGUGUGUUCCAGGUAAAUCCGGUUCACUUUAACACUGAGGCGUGACGACGAGGCAUUACGGUGCUGAAGCAACAAAUGCCCUGCUUCCAGGAAAAGCCUCUAAGCAUCAGGUAACAUCAAAUCGUACCCCAAACCGACACAGGUGGUCAGGUAGAGAAUACCAAGGCGCUUGAGAGAACUCGGGUGAAGGAACUAGGCAAAAUGGUGCCGUAACUUCGGGAGAAGGCACGCUGACACGUAGGUGAAGUGAUUUACUCAUGGAGCUGAAGUCAGUCGAAGAUACCAGCUGGCUGCAACUGUUUAUUAAAAACACAGCACUGUGCAAACACGAAAGUGGACGUAUACGGUGUGACGCCUGCCCGGUGCCGGAAGGUUAAUUGAUGGGGUCAGCGCAAGCGAAGCUCCUGAUCGAAGCCCCGGUAAACGGCGGCCGUAACUAUAACGGUCCUAAGGUAGCGAAAUUCCUUGUCGGGUAAGUUCCGACCUGCACGAAUGGCGUAAUGAUGGCCAGGCUGUCUCCACCCGAGACUCAGUGAAAUUGAACUCGCUGUGAAGAUGCAGUGUACCCGCGGCAAGACGGAAAGACCCCGUGAACCUUUACUAUAGCUUGACACUGAACAUUGAGCCUUGAUGUGUAGGAUAGGUGGGAGGCUUUGAAGCGUGGACGCCAGUCUGCGUGGAGCCGACCUUGAAAUACCACCCUUUAAUGUUUGAUGUUCUAACGUGGACCCGUAAUCCGGGUUGCGGACAGUGUCUGGUGGGUAGUUUGACUGGGGCGGUCUCCUCCUAAAGAGUAACGGAGGAGCACGAAGGUUGGCUAAUCCUGGUCGGACAUCAGGAGGUUAGUGCAAUGGCAUAAGCCAGCUUGACUGCGAGCGUGACGGCGCGAGCAGGUGCGAAAGCAGGUCAUAGUGAUCCGGUGGUUCUGAAUGGAAGGGCCAUCGCUCAACGGAUAAAAGGUACUCCGGGGAUAACAGGCUGAUACCGCCCAAGAGUUCAUAUCGACGGCGGUGUUUGGCACCUCGAUGUCGGCUCAUCACAUCCUGGGGCUGAAGUAGGUCCCAAGGGUAUGGCUGUUCGCCAUUUAAAGUGGUACGCGAGCUGGGUUUAGAACGUCGUGAGACAGUUCGGUCCCUAUCUGCCGUGGGCGCUGGAGAACUGAGGGGGGCUGCUCCUAGUACGAGAGGACCGGAGUGGACGCAUCACUGGUGUUCGGGUUGUCAUGCCAAUGGCACUGCCCGGUAGCUAAAUGCGGAAGAGAUAAGUGCUGAAAGCAUCUAAGCACGAAACUUGCCCCGAGAUGAGUUCUCCCUGAGACUUAGAGUCUCCUGAAGGAACGUUGAAGACGACGACGUUGAUAGGCCGGGUGUGUAAGCGCAGCGAUGCGUUGAGCUAACCGGUACUAAUGAACCGUGAGGCUUAACCUUACAACGCCGAAG